rnacentral:rRNA from 1 species
UUACACAUGCAAGUCGAACGAUGAAGCUGGCGCUUGCUCCAGUGGAUUAGUGGCGAACGGGUGAGUAACACGUGAGCAAUCUGCCCUUGACUCUGGGAUAACUGCGGGAAACUGUAGCUAAUACCGGAUACGACACCUUGGGGCAUCCCGAGGUGUGGAAAGAAUUUCGGUCAAGGAUGAGCUCGCGGCCUAUCAGCUAGUUGGUGAGGUAAAGGCUCACCAAGGCGACGACGGGUAGCCGGCCUGAGAGGGUGACCGGCCACACUGGAACUGAGAUACGGUCCAGACUCCUACGGGAGGCAGCAGUGGGGAAUAUUGCACAAUGGGCGCAAGCCUGAUGCAGCAACGCCGCGUGAGGGAUGAAGGCCUUCGGGUUGUAAACCUCUUUUAGCAGGGAAGAAGCGAAAGUGACGGUACCUGCAGAAAAAGCACCGGCUAACUACGUGCCAGCAGCCGCGGUAAUACGUAGGGUGCAAGCGUUGUCCGGAAUUAUUGGGCGUAAAGAGCUCGUAGGCGGUUUGUCGCGUCUGCUGUGAAAAUCCAAGGCUCAACCUUGGACCUGCAGUGGGUACGGGCAGACUAGAGUGCGGUAGGGGAGAUGGGAAUUCCUGGUGUAGCGGUGGAAUGCGCAGAUAUCAGGAGGAACACCAAUGGCGAAGGCACAUCUCUGGGCCGUAACUGACGCUGAGGAGCGAAAGCGUGGGGAGCGAACAGGAUUAGAUACCCUGGUAGUCCACGCCGUAAACGGUGGGUGCUAGUUGUGGGCCACAUUCCACGUGGUCCGUGACGAAGUUAACACAUUAAGCACCCCGCCUGGGGAGUACGGUCGCAGGACUAAAACUCAAAGGAAUUGACGG